rnacentral:rRNA from 1 species
ACCAAGUCUGUACUAGGUGAGCGAUGGGGUGACGCAGGAAGGUAGUCCAGCCCGGGCGGUGGUUGUCCCGGGGUAAGGGUGUAGGGCGUUGUGUAGGCAAAUCCGCACAACAUGAGCCUGAGACCUGAUGCCGAGCCGAUUGUGGUGAAGUGGAUGAUCCUAUGCUGUCGAGAAAAGCCUCUAGCGAGUUUCAUGGCGGCCCGUACCCCAAACCGA